GGCCCAUUUUAGUUAGGUGCAGCGUGAGAGAAAAAAAAAAUGAUUACAAUCUGACAAGAAUCAGAUUUCUUUUCUGCUAUAGCGUAUGUCAGUUUCUUUUCUUUUCUGCUACAGCGUAUUUUCAUCUCCCGAGAAAUCUUCAAAAUCUGCCCAAAAUCUUUUUACUUCCUACCGAGCCUUAUCUCUGCAACCUCUUCACUCUCUUUUUUUUAAAACUCUCCCAAACCCAUCAGAACCUUCUCUGUCAUUUUCCAUCUCUGAAACUCUGUCAUUUUCUAUCUCUGAAUCUGCAAGAAUAUUUCUACCUCAAGAGUUCAUGACACUUAUCAAGGCAAGCAGAUACUACUACACAUUCAUCAAACAUUCACCAAAAUCCAACUGAACAAGGCCUUGAGGACCAGGAGGAUUAGCACUGCUUUCCCGUGACAGGUUUACGAUUAAACUACAGGCUUUGCCUAUUCAGGUUGAUCGGCUGGUGCAGACGGGGCUGAGCUGAGGCUGGGUACCACAAUGUCUUUUGCUUCCGCUAACGACUAGCUAGUCAUUUCGUCUGUUAAAUUCUCUAAACUUAGAAUUUCUAUUAUGUGGUACAAUAUUAUCUUAUUGGGCUUAAACUCUUAUCCUAUAUUUCUAUUAAUAAAGCUAUCUUUGAUUA